UCUUAUUUUGGAGAUGAGGAUGAAGUGUUAAGGACAUUGAUGGGAAAUCUAGUGAGAACUCUAGGUUAUGACUAUGAAUUUGAAUGCCAAAAACAUUUGGAUGUUUGAUGAUUUCUUAGGAGUUUAAAUUUUAUAUAGAGGAUUUAUUUUCUCUGCAUAUUAUAUUAUUAGCUAAUUUUUUAAUAAUUUUGUGCUUCCUUAAAUGAAGCAAGCGCGUUUUUUGCACUUUGCACUUAAGCAAUGGAGUGAUGCAUCAUUUUGAUUGUACCUUAUGCUUUUGACUACCUUGAUUUUUUUGCUUUCUUUCAGCAAGUGUCUAAUUGGUGUAUUGUUGGCCAUUGGACAUUCAUUUGUAAAGUCAAAUUGUAUUUCAGUUUCUCUUUAACAUCA
rnacentral:misc_RNA from 1 species